rnacentral:rRNA from 1 species
UACGAAGGGGGCUAGCGUUGUUCGGAAUUACUGGGCGUAAAGGGCGCGUAGGCUGUGCUGUAAGUCAGGCGUGAAAGCCCCGGGCUCAACCUGGGAAUUGCGCUUGAUACUGCGGCGCUGGAAGGUGGGAGAGGAUGGCGGAAUUCCCAGUGUAGAGGUGAAAUUCGUAGAUAUUGGGAGGAACACCUGUGGCGAAGGCGGCCAUCUGGACGGUAACUGACGCUGAGACGCGAAAGCGUGGGUAGCAAACAGG